UACGGGGGGGGCAAGCGUUGUUCGGAAUUACUGGGCGUAAGGGGUGCGUAGGCGGCUCUCUAAGUUGGAUGUGAAAACUCUGGGCUCAACCCAGAGCCUGCAUCCAAAACUGGAGAGCUAGGGUUCUGGAGGGGAAAGCGGAAUUCCUGGUGUAGCGGUGAAACGCGUAGAUAUCAGGAGGAACACCGGUGGCGAAGGCGGCUUUCUGGACAGUAACUGACGCUGAGGCGCGAAAGCUAGGGGAGCAAACAGG
rnacentral:rRNA from 1 species